AAACUUACCAGGUCAAGACAUGGGCGUGAUUGACAGGCUAAUGACUUUUCUCGAUUCCAUGGAUGGUGGUGCAUGGUCGCACUUAGUUGGUGCAGUGAUUUGUCAGGUUUAUUCCGGUAACGAACGAGACCUCGGCCUUGUAAAUAGCUAUGCUGCUUACAGGGACAUUGGCGGCUACGCCAAGGAAGCUCGAGGCAAUUGCAGAUCUGGAAUGCCCUUAGAUGUCCUGGGUCGCACGCGUGCUACAAUGACGCCACGAACGAGCUUGCGUGAUGAAAGUUACGCAUAAUCAGCAGUCGGCGUCUUAAGGGAUAGUCUCUUGUAACUGUGGGACUCCAACUAGGAAUGUCUCGUAAGCACAAGUCAACAUCUUGUGUUGAUUACGUCCCUGCUCUUUGUACACACCGCCCGUCGCUCCUACCGAUCGAGUGUUUAGGUGAAUUUGAUGGACGUAAGGAAGUCAAAUAAACCUGAGCACUAGAGAAGAGAAGUCGAGAAUC
rnacentral:rRNA from 1 species